rnacentral:rRNA from 1 species
GACGAACGCUGGCGGCGUGCUUAACACAUGCAAGUCGAACGAAGAGCGAUGGAAGCUUGCUUCUAUCAAUCUUAGUGGCGAACGGGUGAGUAACGCGUAAUCAACCUGCCCUUCAGAGGGGGACAACAGUUGGAAACGACUGCUAAUACCGCAUACGAUCCAAUCUCGGCAUCGGGACUGGAUGAAAGGUGGCCUCUAUUUAUAAGCUAUCACUGAAGGAGGGGAUUGCGUCUGAUUAGCUAGUUGGAGGGGUAACGGCCCACCAAGGCGAUGAUCAGUAGGCCGGCCUGAAGGAAGGACCGCCAAAAUUGGAAUGGGGCAAGGGCCAGGACUCCAACGGAGGCAGCAGGGGGGGAACUUUCGCAAAUGAAGAAAGGCCGAAGGGGGCACCCCGGCGUGGGUGUGACGGGCCUCCGGUUGUAAAGCUCUGUUAAUCGGGACGAAUGGUUCUUGUGCGAAUAGUGCGAGGAUUUGACGGUACCGGAAUAGAAAGCCACGGCUAACUACGUG